rnacentral:lncRNA from 1 species
GUUUAUUAGAACAGGGGGUGUGGUAGUAAGUUUAUUAGAACAGGGGGGGUGUGGUAGUAAGUUUAUUAGAACAGGGGGAGUGGUAGUAAGUUUAUUAGAACAGGGGAGUGUGGUAGUAAGUUUAUUAGAACAGGGGGUGUGGUAGUAAGUUUAUUAGAACAGGGGGGUGUAGUAGUAAGUUAAUCAGAACAAGGGGUGUGGUAGUAAGUUUAGCAGAACAGGGGGUGUGGUAGUAAGUUUAUCAGUAGAGGGGGGUGGGGUAGUAAGUUUAGCAGAACAGGGGGGUGUGGAAGUAAGUUUAUCAGUAGAGGGGGGUGGGGUAGUAAGUUUAGCAGAACAGGGGGGUGUGGUAGUAAGUUUAUCAGUAGAGGGGGGUGGGGUAGUAAGGCCAAUAGCAGUCCACCAUGUCUUUAGCCUCCUCGUAUGUGGUGAACUCACAGUCGGGGGAAAAUUGUGGCGUUCCUGGCUCACAGAAUCUCAGAUGGUGUCUCAAAUUGUACCUAUCGAAGGUCAACAUCUGAGAGGAACAGAAUUUUUCAUCAUCUUAAGUGAUAGCUAGACUUUUGAUUGCUGAUUGUAAAGUCUUGCUGCUUUGGCAACAUUGUUGUACCUUUAAAAGUUAUACCCACAAAGCAGUUGUCUUAAAAACCUGUCCUGGAGAGAUACAGGGUGUGCAGGGUUUUGUUCCAGGCACCAGUUACACACAGAUUACACUAAUAAAGGUCUUGAUAAUUAGUUGAUUAAUUGAAUCAGACGUGUUAGAGUUGGGCUAAAACUAAAUCCUUUACACCCUGUUAUUUUCCAGUACAAACAUUGUUGAUCCAAUCAAUAAAGUUGAUGUGAAAUCUGACCUGUGAACCGUCCAUGUGGAACGCUACAGCAAUGUUGUCCCAAACGUAGAACUGGUGUUUCUGUGGAUCAGGGAUCAGGUGGGCUACAUCCUGGUUCUGGUAGGGCUUUGGCACCAAUUUCAAGCUGUGGAAAGGAAGUAAAAGUCUGAGUCAAUUGUAAUUAAUGCAUCCCAUGCUAUAAUUGAGUGAUUUUUUUAUCUAUUAUUGCUAUAUUACAUC